GCGGCGGACGGGUGAGUAACACGUGGGUAACCUGCCCAUAAGAGUGGGAUAACUCCGGGAAACCGGGGCUAAUACCGGAUAACAUUUUGAACUGCAUGGUUCGAAAUUGAAAGGCGGCUUCGGCUGUCACUUAUGGAUGGACCCGCGUCGCAUUAGCUAGUUGGUGAGGUAACGGCUCACCAAGGCAACGAUGCGUAGCCGACCUGAGAGGGUGAUCGGCCACACUGGGACUGAGACACGGCCCAGACUCCUACGGGAGGCAGCAGUAGGGAAUCUUCCGCAAUGGACGAAAGUCUGACGGAGCAACGCCGCGUGAGUGAUGAAGGCUUUCGGGUCGUAAAACUCUGUUGUUAGGGAAGAACAAGUGCUAGUUGAAUAAGCUGGCACCUUGACGGUACCUAACCAGAAAGCCACGGCUAACUACGUGCCAGCAGCCGCGGUAAUACGUAGGUGGCAAGCGUUAUCCGGAAUUAUUGGGCGUAAAGCGCGCGCAGGUGGUUUCUUAAGUCUGAUGUGAAAGCCCACGGCUCAACCGUGGAGGGUCAUUGGAAACUGGGAGACUUGAGUGCAGAAGAGGAAAGUGGAAUUCCAUGUGUAGCGGUGAAAUGCGUAGAGAUAUGGAGGAACACCAGUGGCGAAGGCGACUUU
rnacentral:rRNA from 1 species